GCCGAGGUAGCUCAGUCGGUAGAGCGCCGGUCUGAAAAACCGUAGGUCGACAGUUCGAUUCUGUCCCUCGGCA
rnacentral:tRNA from 1 species